rnacentral:lncRNA from 1 species
GGCUUAUGACUGCAUAGGGAGCAUGUCUAUAAGAUGGCGAUAACAUAAAAGAAAAGCGCUGUAAGAUCAUUGAUAUUGCAAUUUUAGCUUCUAGCAUUGCAAAAUUUUGUCCAAUGCAUAUCCGGGGUCCUGAGCUGAAUGGGAAAUAUACUGUUUUUCCAUUUGUUGCUUUUAACACACCGUCAGAAAAUCUCGCAGGGUUGAAUUCCUUUGCAUCAUCACCCCAAAUCUCUUUGUCAUGAUGCAUUAGGAUGAUAGAUAUUUGCAGCAACACUCCAGCAGGAAGCGCUAUUUCUCCUAAUUUAAUAUCUUCAGAUGUAGUUCGAGUGAGUACAGUUCCAGAAGGAUAUAAUCUUAGAGUCUCUAGCAAAAUCAUAUUGACCUGCACAAUAAAAACAUUCAAAAGCUUUAAUAUUGCAAAAUUUUAACUUGUUAAUAUGUUUCAUCAUAACCUUUUUACCAGGGGGGUAUAAAGGACUUACAACUUUAAGGCGAUUCAACCCUUCAAGAUCCGGCUUAUUGCUUCCAAAGGCCUGCAAAACCUCUUCUCUAGCGCGUUUUUGCCAAUAUGAAUGCUGACUCAAUAAAAUCAUUGUCCAAAUAAGAAGAUUUGAGGUCGUCUCUUGUCCAACAAAAUAGAAUAGCUUGCAUUCUUCGAUGAUAUCAUUAACACUCAUUGCAUAUUUCAUGUUUUUGUUUUCUUUAAUUUCUGCAGAAUUUGAUUCCAGCAAUUGGCCUAACAAGUCAUGAUGGAUACGCUUCCCUGCUUGCAUUGCCUUCAAGCGCUUGCUAAUGAUAGGUGUAAGUGCAGCUCUCACUUCAUUGCUUAUCUCCUUCAUCCUUCUAGUUCUUUUGGUUGGCAAAUAUCUAGGUUUAACAAGUUUCAUAAAAAUUAAUGCAAGUAAAGGGAAUACUGAAAGAUUUUAUUUAAUAAAGAAACAGAAUAAAGAAAGAAAUAAGAACCUCAUUCCUGGGAGGUACAAAGUUUGUGCAGCUUGCAUCACUAGCUCUGCUUGUUCUUUCUGUAGUUGAAAUAUCUUUCUACCUUCUGCAUAGCUACUUCCGAAGGCUGUGCGUGAUAUGACAUCACUCGUUAGGGUCUCUAUAUAAGGCCAUACAUCCAACUCGCACUGCCCCUCUGUAGAAACCAUCUCCUUCCAUUUGCUCAUGAUCUCACUACAGCUCAAAUACAUGGCUGGCAGCAUAUCCUGUUAAUAAGCAUCAUAAAAAAGAAUCACAUUAGUAGUGAAUACCAUAUAGAAACUUAGACAAUAUCAUUUGUUGAGUUCUAUAGAGGAAUUUGUAUGGGGAUGACCUUUAACUUCUCCAAAUGGAAGGCAGGCUUCAUGAUUUUUCGGUGUUGGGUCCAUUUAUCACCCUCAGCAGUGACAAGUCCAUCUCCGAUUAACUUGGUUAAAGGGUUGCCACUCGGCUUCUGGAAGGUAAAGAUUUUAUUCAAGACCUCUUUUAUAAGAUCAGGAUCCGUGAUGUAGACUAAUGGUUUUGGUCCCAGCCAUACAAAUGACUUCUUUCCUGCAAGAAAGUAUAUAACAUGGUUGUAGGCAUUUAGAAACUGAAUAAAAUAUGUAAUAAUAAUCUAGCAGUGAAGAAAUUGCUUACCAUGUUUACUUAUAGCAGCAUGUACCGUUGGGGCUACAAGGGGUAGAAUAUCAUCAGAAAGACCGAUGCGUUUGGAUCUUGCUUGUUUCUUAAGAGCAGCAAGUUCUCUGAUG